ACUCUCAUUUUCUCUUAAAGCCCGCCUCCCGCCUCCCGCCUCCCGCCUCCCGCCUCCCGCCUUCUACCCCCUGCCUCUUUCUCUCUCUCUUUCUAUCACUCUUCUCCGUCUAUUUGACUUGUUCUCCCUCUCUCACUCAACGAUGUCGACGACCAGGCAAGGGCAUGGGUUUGACGACGCUUUCCUCAAUUUGGCAGCUGCCCAAUUUUUUUCGACGACUAGGCAAGAGCCUGGCAGAAGUUUGUGUGGAAGCUUUCUCCAUCCAACCACACACCCUUCAUGAAUCUCUCUGUUUCAAACUCAUCUCUUAGUUCAAUGAGGAUAUGGCCUGUGACACGUUCUUGAAGAUUGCGCAGAAGUGCAAGUCUAAAUUUGUAAUUGUUCAGAAGGAUUGUUGGCGACUUCAGUGGUUUAAGUGAUGAAAGGUUUUUCCGAGAGUUAAUGAACAUUACAUUUUGUCAUUCUAUUCACAUAUUUGGAGAAGACCUCAUCUCAUGUAUCUUAUUUUCCGAGAGCUAAUUAUUCUAUUGAAUCUCCAUAUGUCAUGAAUAUGAUAAGGAUACUAAAGCAGCACAAAAAAAAAUCUUAUCAUUUCAAAGUAACAAAGUUACGAGCUCUACACAAUGAGUUCAAUAGAAAGUUUGAUGUUGUAUUUCAUUAAAUUUAAUCUUAAUUUAUAAUUUUAUAAAUAACUUAUUGA